CUUGGUGAUUAGAGCGGCGUGGACCCACCUGAUCCAUUCCGAACUCAGAAGUGAAACACGCCAGCGCCGACGAUAGUUGUGGGGCAACUCACCGCGAAAAUAAGUCAUUGCCAGGC
rnacentral:rRNA from 2 species